rnacentral:rRNA from 1 species
GUGGGGAAUAUUGGACAAUGGGCGAAAGCCUGAUCCAGCCAUGCCGCGUGUGUGAAGAAGGCCUUUUGGUUGUAAAGCACUUUAAGCGAGGAGGAGGCUACCGAGAUUAAUACUCUUGGAUAGUGGACGUUACUCGCAGAAUAAGCACCGGCUAACUCUGUGCCAGCAGCCGCGGUAAUACAGAGGGUGCAAGCGUUAAUCGGAUUUACUGGGCGUAAAGCGCGCGUAGGUGGCCAAUUAAGUCAAAUGUGAAAUCCCCGAGCUUAACUUGGGAAUUGCAUUCGAUACUGGUUGGCUAGAGUAUGGGAGAGGAUGGUAGAAUUCCAGGUGUAGCGGUGAAAUGCGUAGAGAUCUGGAGGAAUACCGAUGGCGAAGGCAGCCAUCUGGCCUAAUACUGACACUGAGGUGCGAAAGCAUGGGGAGCAAACAGGAUUAGAAACCCUGGUAGUCC